GCUCCAACUCCAGCACUUUCUCCAGAUCCGCCUUGGCCUCCGCCGCGUUCCACACCUCGGCGUGAGCCCGGGCACGCACGUAGUAGGCUUUCGCGAUGCCUGCGGGGAGGAUCCGCGCUGCACCCAGCUGCCGGGUUCCCCAAAACUGCAGAAUCUGAAGGUCCUAACCUGACACUACCCCACACGGUGACUAUGGGAAUGAGGAAAUUGAUUGCCUGCUUCUUUAAAAAGCCUGAUGACUACUCCACAAAAUCACUGGUGACCCUGUGACCCUGGGCCGGACACCCCUCCACCUGUUGGGACGCCCCGCCCCGUGACCCGCACCUGGGUGAUGGCGGAGGAUGUCGCUGGUGUGCUCCAGCACCUCGUAGUACUCCUCCUUCUUCAGCAGACACUGGCAGUAGUUGAGGAUCAAGGUGUUGAUCAUCUUUUCCAGUUUCAGCCACUGCACAUCCCAGGGCUUCUCCUGCCCAGUGCAGAAAAUCAGCCUUGAGCUUGGGCAGCCAAAGGACCCCCUCCUCCCCAAUUUACCGCAGCCGGGGCAGGACUAUUCCUCCAGAGCCAACCUCACCUCCCGCCCUAGAGGGCAGCCUCCCACCUUGGUCUGCAGGUUCCGCAGGCACACGAUAGCUUCCUGGUACUUGGAGGAAGCAUCCUCAUAGCGGCCAAGCUUGAAGAGCCGGUUUCCUUCUCCGUGAAGGAUGGGUACUGCCUGCAUCUUCUCUUGGUUGUUCAAGUUCCACGUCUCCCGCUGAUACUCGCUCGGGGCCUCAACCUGACCCAAGAACUGCGGGUGGCGCUGAGAAUCGAACCCAUUGCCUCGUAUAUGCUAGACAAGCGCUGUACCACUGAGCCACAACCCCA